UACGUAGGGGGCAAGCGUUGUCCGGAAUCAUUGGGCGUAAAGAGCGUGUAGGCGGCCCGGUCAGUCCGCCGUGAAAGUCCAGGGCUCAACCCUGGAAUGCCGGUGGAUACUGCCGGGCUGGAGUCCGGAAGAGGAGAGUGGAAUUCCUGGUGUAGCGGUGAAAUGCGCAGAUAUCAGGAAGAACACCCGUGGCGAAGGCGGCUCUCUGGGACGGUACUGACGCUGAGACGCGAAAGCGUGGGGAGCGAACAGG
rnacentral:rRNA from 1 species